CAAAGUGCUCAUAGUGCAGGUAGUUUUUUGCAAAUGACUACUGUACUAUGGGCACUUCAGC
ensembl:miRNA mdo-mir-20b mdo-mir-20b